rnacentral:misc_RNA from 1 species
GUUGUUCUUGAGAGGUUGAUAAAUGUGGCUCUUCGAAGUGAGCUUUAUGCAAAAGAUGAUAUUUCUUCCCAGUACCAAAAGUUCCAGCUUCUGCUUUGUGCCGCGGAGGUUAGUUUGCAUUGUGGGAAUAAUUUCAAGUGCAUUAUGCAUGCAAAAAGUACUCUAGAGAUGCAGCUUCCAGAUAACUACCUCUUCUUUGCACACUUGCUACUAUGUCGUGCCUAUGCUGUAGAAGAUAAUUAUUCAGGACUUCAUGAAGAAUACAUAAGGUGCUUGCAGCUAAAAACUGAUAAUCAUAUUGGUUGGAUUUGUCUUAAGUUUCUUGAAAGUCGAUACAAGCUGCAGUCAGAUUCCAGUUCACUAGCCUUG